GUCGAUAACGAACGAGACCUUAACCUGCUAAAUAGUUAGGCCAACGUUUGUUGGUCGUCAACUUCUUAGAGGGACUAUUGACUAUUAGUCAAUGGAAGUUUGAGGCAAUAACAGGUCUGUGAUGCCCUUAGAUGUUCUGGGCCGCACGCGCGCUACACUGAUCAAGUCAACGAGUUUACAACCUUGGCCGGAAGGUCUGGGUAAUCUUUUGAAACUUGAUCGUGCUGGGGAUAGUCCAUUGCAAUUAUUGCUCUUCAACGAGGAAUGCCUAGUAGGCACGAGUCAUCAGCUCGUGCCGAUUACGUCCCUGCCCUUUGUACACACCGCCCGUCGCUAAUACCGAUUGAAUGGUUGG
rnacentral:rRNA from 1 species